rnacentral:ncRNA from 2 species
ACACAACAUAACCCAACCCGUCGUAUAUCCCCGGAGAUAAGGUCCGGAAGUUUCUACCGAGCUGCCGUAAAUGGCUCGACUACGAUCGGGGGCGUUCUCAUU